rnacentral:rRNA from 1 species
UACAUAGGGUGCAAGCGUUGUCCGGAAUUAUUGGGCGUAAAGAGCUCGUAGGUGGUUCGUUACGUCGGAUGUGAAAAUCUGGGGCUCAACCCCAGACCUGCAUCCGAUACGGUCGAGCUAGAGUUUGGUAGGGGAGACUGGAAUUCCUGGUGUAGCGGUGGAAUGCGCAGAUAUCAGGAGGAACACCAAUGGCGAAGGCAGGUCUCUGGGCCAAUACUGACACUGAGGAGCGAAAGCGUGGGGAGCGAACAGG